rnacentral:rRNA from 1 species
ACCAACGACUGCACCACGUUGAAUACACCAGUUCUCGUCGGAUCACUGAAGUUAAGCGAUGUCAGGCGUGGUCAGCACUCGGAUGGGUGACCGUCUGGGAGAUCACGUGUUGUUGGUU